GGGGAUGCCUUGGCUUCGACGGGGGUAAGAUGGGUUUGAUAAGCGAGCCGGGGGAAGCAUGGUCCCACGUGAUCAACUAUGCACUAAAUGUAAACGCAGAAGAUAAUUUUGCAUUAGCUGCCUAGUAGCAGCUCGUCAGCCUAAGAGUCCCGCGACUUAGGAUCUGGCGCCGACAGCGGGGACCCGAGCCCAGGAAAGCUUUGACCUAGGAACGGAAUUUAUGAAGCUACUAAAGCAAGAAGCCUGUCUAUAGGCGUCUUGUGGAGGGAAUGUUAAAUUAUAGACUACGCUCGUAGAAAGUCAAGCUGGUCUGCUUUCGGACACGGGUUCGACACCCGUCAUCUCCACCA
rnacentral:tmRNA from 1 species